GUGGGGAAUAUUGGACAAUGGGCGAAAGCCUGAUCCAGCCAUGCCGCGUGUGUGAAGAAGGUCUUCGGAUUGUAAAGCACUUUAAGUUGGGAGGAAGGGCAGUAAGUUAAUACCUUGCUGUUUUGACGUUACCGACAGAAUAAGCACCGGCUAACUUCGUGCCAGCAGCCGCGGCAAUACGAAGGGUGCAAGCGUUAAUCGGAAUUACUGGGCGUAAAGCGCGCGUAGGUGGUUUUGUAAGUUGGAGGUGAAAUCCCCGGGCUCAACCUGGGAACUGCCUCCAAAACUGCAUGACUAGAGUACGGUAGAGGGUAGUGGAAUUUCCUGUGUAGCGGUGAAAUGCGUAGAUAUAGGAAGGAACACCAGUGGCGAAGGCGACUACCUGGACUGAUACUGACACUGAGGUGCGAAAGCGUGGGGAGCAAACAGGAUUAGAUACCCUAGUAGUCC
rnacentral:rRNA from 1 species